UACGGAGGGUGCAAACGUUGCUCGGAAUCAUUGGGCGUAAAGCGCACGUAGGCGGUUCGUUAAGUCGGAUGUGAAAGCCCUCGGCUCAACCGAGGAAGGGCAUCCGAAACUGGCGUGCUUGAGUAUGGAAGAGGGUCUCGGAAUUCCCGGUGUAGAGGUGAAAUUCGUAGAUAUCGGGAGGAACACCAGUGGCGAAGGCGGAGACCUGGGCCAAUACUGACGCUGAGGUGCGAAAGCGUGGGGAGCAAACAGG
rnacentral:rRNA from 1 species